AACGAACGCUGGCGGCAUGCCUAACACAUGCAAGUCGAACGAGACCUUCGGGUCUAGUGGCGCACGGGUGCGUAACGCGUGGGAACCUGCCCUUAGGUUCGGAAUAACUCCCCGAAAGGGGUGCUAAUACCGGAUAAUGUCUUCGGACCAAAGAUUUAUCGCCUUUGGAUGGGCCCGCGUUGGAUUAGCUAGUUGGUAGGGUAAAAGCCUACCAAGGCGACGAUCCAUAGCUGGUCUGAGAGGAUGAUCAGCCACACUGGGACUGAGACACGGCCAGACUCCUACGGGAGGCAGCAGUGGGGAAUAUUGGACAAUGGGCGAAAGCCUGAUCCAGCAAUGCCGCGUGAGUGAUGAAGGCCUUAGGGUUGUAAAGCUCUUUUACCCGGGAUGAUAAUGACAGUACCGGGAGAAUAAGCGCCGGCUAACUCCGUG
rnacentral:rRNA from 1 species